CAUGCUGCUCAACAAGAAUACUAUGCUACUCAGUUUCAACAACAGCAAGCACUGAUACAACAACUAGCACAAGCCCAAGGGAUACAGUUUCCGAUGGCCCCCCCACCUCCACCUUCCAUACAUUUUCCUUGGCCUUCACCUCCACCUCCACCUACCGAACAUCAGGUAUAUGAGACUCCUCCAGCUACCUUGCCGGCGCAGCAACAAGAUGAUGGGUUAGACUUUGUCAAUACGCUCUUCGCGAGUGGAGGUAGCGAGCAUCACUCUUCGAUAUUUCCUGAUGUUGAUCGACAAUAGUGGGCU